rnacentral:rRNA from 1 species
AUGAACGCUGGCGGCGUGCCUAAUACAUGCAGGUCGAGCGAACAGACGAGGAGCUUGCUCCUCUGACGUUAGCGGCGGACGGGUGAGUAACACGUGGAUAACCUACCUAUAAGACUGGGAUAACUUCGGGAAACCGGAGCUAAUACCGGAUAAUAUAUUGAACCGCAUGGUUCAAUAGUGAAAGACGGUUUUGCUGUCACUUAUAGAUGGAUCCGCGCCGCAUUAGCUAGUUGGUAAGGUAACGGCUUACCAAGGCAACGAUGCGUAGCCGACCUGAGAGGGUGAUCGGCUACACUGGAACUGAGACACGGUCCAGACUCCUACGGGAGGCAGCAGUAGGGAAUCUUCCGCAAUGGGCGAAAGCCUGACGGAGCAACGCCGCGUGAGUGAUGAAGGUCUUCGGAUCGUAAAACUCUGUUAUUAGGGAAGAACAAAUGUGUAAGUAACUAUGCACGUCUUGACGGUACCUAAUCAGAAAGCCACGGCUAACUACGUG